GGCAUAUAGAGGUUCCCAGGCUAGGGGUCUAAUCGGAGCUGUAGCCACUGACCUACACCACAGCCAGAGCAAUGCCAGAUCCGAGCCUCGUCUGCGACCUACGUCACAGCUCACGGCAACACCGGAUCCUUAACCCACUCAGCGAGGCCAGGGAUCAAACCCACAACCUCAUGGUUCCUAGUCAGAUUCGUUUCUGCUGCACCAUGACGGGAACUCCAGGAGUGUCUGCGUGUUUGAGAGGAAGGAUGACUGUGAUAUGGACAAGGUCGCUAGCAUCGGCUUUGUCUAGGAAAUAAAAGGUAUUCUAAAGGCCAGUUUAUCAUCUGCUGAUCAGAUUCCUUUAUGUCAGUUUCUCAUAAUUGUCCAAAAAACUAGUAGCUGGGUAAUGCCCCCAAGAGACUCAUUAGAAACACUGGGUUAUCCUUCCCGUUCUCUGAAUGGAUGGAAGGCGAGCAUAGUAUAUAAUACACAUGCUAUGAUGUUAGUAAUACACACCACUGCCUACCUGGACCUUCUCAACCACAACCACCAUACGUGGUAGAUAGAUGUAUUAGUCAGGGCACUCCAGAGAAAUGGAACCUACAGGGGAUGGAUAUAUACAAAUUAUGAGCAAUUGGCUCUUGCACUUAUGGGAGCCAGGAAGUCCCAUGAUCUGAGAGCUGUGAGCUGGUGACUCAGGGAAGCCAGUGGUUUAACUCAGUCUGAAUCCAAAAGCCUGGGAACCAGGGGAGCGGAGGAUGUAAAUCCUAGUCUGAGGGCAGAAGAUGAGAUGGAUGUCCCAACUCAAGCAGUGAGCCAAGAAAAAGAGGACAAAUCUCUCCUUCCCCCACCUUUUGUUCUAUUCAGGCCCCCAACGAAUUAGAGGAUGCCCAUGCCCACUGGGCAGGGCCAUCUGCCUUCCUGAGAGCACUUAUUCAAGGGCUAAUUGCAUCUGGAAACACCCAGAAACAAUGCUUCAUCUGGGCGCCCAGUAACGCAGUCAAGUGGACAUGUAAAAUUAACCAUCACAGCAGGGAAGGAAUUAUUCCCAACUCCUCCAGCACCUUGAUCUUGAGUGCUGAUCAGUGAUACCUGAGUUACAGAGGUUUUCAUGGUCACAUAGUAACAAAUGGCCAGGCUGGAACUAGGAUGUAGUUGUUAUGACUACAGGCCUUAUCUUUUAGAAAACCUGGGGUAUGGUGGGGAGCAGGGCAAGGACACACCAUCCUGGCGGUUCCGUCCUGCAAUUGUGAUGGUCUUGAAACAGGGAGCCAUGGCCACAAUCAUGCUGGGUUACCCAGAGAGGAGCUAAUGACAUAAUCAUGGACCCUCUACAGUCAAUUAUUGCAAUUACUGGAAGCCACUCUCUUGUCAUAUUUCAUUUAGCACCAAACGGCACUAGAGAGGCAAGUGGCACCGAGGGUCCUGGGCCCAUUGUCGCUGCCCUCCUUGGAACAGGCAUCUAAAAAGGAAAAUGCCAACCCCAAUAAACUGUUCCUGCAGAAGCCAUUAGGCUGGGUGACAUGUUCACUUAGGGUGACAUAUAAUGAUCAUGUAAAACACGCACACUGUAUAAUAUGAUUAAACAAACUCAACCAGCUCCAGAGAGAGCCAGCUGAACCAUGAGCUGGAGCCUGGCUCUGCAGCAAGAGCCCCCUGGCCUUGGUGGGGGGCACCUGCCUCAGGGUAGGUACUACGUACAGGGUGUUUCUGUUAUCAAUUAUUCAUCCAUCCACUGACUCACCCAGCCACUCACUUCUUCAUUCAACAGGUAUUUCCCGAGUGUCUGCUAUGGGAGGGACACUGUGAUAACUACUGGGGAGAAAAUGAUGGAUGGUUUGGGACUUUCUGGGGAAUGUCCUGCUCUUGCUGGCUGUAAUCAGUAUAAUCCAUAAUCAGUAAUCCCCUGUAAUUGUCACUUACACAUUUGUCCUUUAAAUGGUGUAUUUAUAACUCCCACGUUCUGGUUUUCAACUUUUAAAAGCACCUGCUGAUUUUCUCCCCUAAAGAUCAGGAUGUGAGUACACUUACACUUCCUUUCACCGCUUUACCCUACUUCUUUUUUUUUGGUCAUUAGUUCUCAUUACUCAUCACUAUCCUUAUUAUUAAUUUUUGACAAAACGUAACACAAUAAGUGGUUGACGUAUGAGUCUGCAGCGAAGGGAGACACCUGCCCAUUUCAGGUUCUCUCGUCAUCUCAGAGGACCCACUUCUGUCUCAAACGGAGACUAAGCUACCGAAAUCCAGAUGUACUUAGGACAGUGAGACGGGGGUGCUCCCAGGUCCCCUAAUAUACACUCCAUAGGGCCCAAGGGACAUGGAGGAGGUAGGGGGUCUCAGGAGCCAUGGGGUUCAUCCACCUGACUCCCGGUAGAUAUUCUGUUAGAAUGGUUAUCAGGAACCUGUAUGACUUGAUGAUUCGAAAUCACAUAACUUCCAAAGGAUGUUGGAAAGUUUACUCCUUUAGAUACAAUUUAACUUCGUCAGGGCAGAACAGUCUUAAAGUAGUUUCUGGAAUAUCCAUACUGGUUGCAUUUUGGGAUAGGGGGUUGCUAUUAUUUUAAACACAGACAUGCUUACAGAUCUUGAUGUUUCCCACGUGGGCGUGCGAUUAGUGAGGAAUUUGCAGAAUGUUUCCAUCCAGCGUAAUUGUGGACAACAUUUUUGGCUCAUAGGAAAGGAGAACAGGAGAGAAAAUGGAUAUACAUGUAGAGCCACAGAUAAAAUACAUUUAUUUGGAAGGGAAAAGGGUCCUGAUUGCCUAUUUCAAGGAAUGAAGGGGGUUUUCCAGACCGCCAUGCAGUUCUAUGACACCUGCUAGGGUGUCUUACGAUUCAACUCAAUUCCGACUCUCUCCACCUGGCGACAGCAUCUGAUCCCAUAGGUUAGGGGCUCAGUCCCACGGGACUGCUCUCCCCCUCCCCUAGACACACUUCAGACGCCAAUCUCAAGUCCAGGGGUGUCACCUGUGCUUCUGACCGAUCUGCUAUAGAGCAGAGGUUCCAAGGACUCCUCCCUGGGUUUUACUAAUUAGCUGGAGCAGCUCACAGAACCAAGAGAAACAUGUUACGUACUAGACGAUGUUUAUUAUAAAAGGAAAGAACUCAGGAACGCCAGAUGUUAUGAUGUAUGGGGCAAGGUGUGGGGAAAGAUGUCCCACUCCCCCUAAAUCUCUACGUGUCCACAAACUGGAAGCUCUCUGAACCUGUCUUUUUGGGGUUUUAUGGAGGCUUCAUUAGACAGUCAUGAUUUUUAGCACCACACCUGUAGCAUGUGGAAGUUCCCAGGCUAGGGGUUGAAUCAGAGCUGCAGCUGCUGGCCUAUGGCGGGAUCCGAGCUGUGUCUGUGACCUACACCACAGCUCACAGCAACACUGCGUCCUUAACCCCCCCUCCCCCGAGCGAGGCCAAAGAUUGAACCCUUGUUUUCAUGGAUACCUAUCGGGUUCAUUACAGCUGAGCCACAAUGGGAACUCCCACACAGGCAUGAUUAAUUCAGUCAUUACCCACUGGUGAUUGGUUCAGUCUCUAGCCUGUCUCUGCUCCCUGAUGUCUGGGGAGGGGGCAGCAUGAGGUAGGACAGAACGUUCCAACCCCCAAUGAUAUGGCUGGUUUCUUGGCAACCAGCCUCCCACCUUAGGUGAGGUCCAAAAGUCACCUCCUUAACAAAACAAAAGAUAAUUUGCUAGCUCUCCUCAUUUAGGAAACUUCAAGGUUUUUUAGGGGCUCAGUGCCAGAAACAGGGAUGAAAACCAAAAUAAAUAUAUUUCUUAUAAAUCACAGUAUCAUAGAGGGAACUUUACCUGUGAAAUAUACAAGAUGAGAACAAUGCAAAGCCACACAUGGGAACCCACAAGUUUAGGCUAUGGAUGUAAGUGCUGUGUGUCUCACAUUCUCAUCUGUGAUGCGGCUUCUAAGACCAGCCAAAUGGGUUGCUCUGAGGAUUAAACGAAAUAUCACUGCAAGACCCCUUUCACAGAGACUGGCAGACAGUAGCUGCUCAAUCAACGCAGCUUUUACUUACAUUUUAAAUAAUGGGGAGCCUACCCCCUACACGAGUGCUAUUGGUUGUCAUUUCAAAUAUUCUAGUCAGGGUUAUUUUCCCGUAACGUGAGAUUGGGAUGGUGCGGUCUGUGAGGGCUAGUGCAAGACUUCAACUUCAUUGUUAUACUAAUCCUAACAAUAACAAUAGUAAUUAUAAUGAUGAUAAACAAAAGCAAGUCUGUACUGAGCCUCUACUGUAUGCCAGGGAUUGUUCAGCUGUCAUUAUCUCAUUUAAUCCUCUCAGCAACCUACAGAGGUAGGAAAAGGGGGAUGAGGAAGGAGAGAGAGAGAUUACACGGCGUUAUUUAUCUUGGUGUUCCCAGGACCUUAUUUUUUUUAUUUUUCAAUGUUUAAUGUUUUGGCUGUCCCGAGACAUACAGAGUUUUCCCAGGCCAGGGAUCAGAUCCUUGCUGUGGUUGCAACCUAUGCUGCCGCGGAACCCCGGAUCCUUAGCCUACUGUGCUGUGCUGGGGAUUGAACCUGUGUCUCGGUGUCCCAGAGACCUUGCCGAUCCCAUUGUGCCAUGGCGGGAACUUGUUCCCAGGACCUAAGGAUGGAGGCCAAGAGAACCAACCAUGUCCUUAGGGGGCUGGAACAUUCCGUCCUACAACCACCUGCUAAAUGGAGAUCCCUGAAGGUCAGUGGAUUAAUGAUGGAAUGAAUAUGUGGGAAAACGAGUGGAUGAAGAUAAAGCAAUAACUGCUGAGAUACAGGCCCCUCGCUCACUGUGCACCCACCCGAUGCGCCCUAGGGACCCGCGCAUUUCCAGAACAUUCUCUGGGCUGCUCUCCCUGCAAGAGCGGAACAGGACAUCACCGUGCCAGUUUUCCUCUCUGUGGCUCUAAUUACCUGCUCAUUGGCAUGCAAGGACCUCUUCAACCCCGUUCCUGAGAGGGAGUGGAAGUUCUGUGAGAAUCGUACCCAUUAAGGCCUUUUACGAUCACCAUUAUGUAAUAAAGAGCAUCUGGAGUCUGAGGAAUUAUUGCGAGCUUUUAUUUUGUUUUAAGUAUAACUAUCUCCUCAUCCCCUUCUUCCCUCGGAUGACUGCGGAAACAGUUAUAGCUGGGCUGUCUUGGCCCAGAGCCGGUGGUGGUGGACAGCAUCCGUGCCUCCUUCCUCUUUUUUUCAGGAGCCCAGUUCAGUUCUGACAUCUCCCCUUCCCCCCACAGACCUGUGCCGCCAGAUGAGCUGACCUCCCUCUCAGUCUCAGGUGGGUGGAGUGGCCUACGGGAACUUUUGUCUCGUUACAAAUGGCAGGUUUAGGGACAACCACUGAUAGGAUGCCAGGAGGAUGCUGGACAUCCUUUGGAUAAAUCUUGCUCUCAAGAGAGAACCACAGGAAGAAAAGACGUCCUUCUUCCCCUGGGUGCUGGCCCAUCAGGAUGUAAUGCCCGGAGCUGCUCAGCCAUCCUUCCACCAGCCUGUGCUGAAGCUGACACCCCGGAGGGUGGAGCAGAGACGUGACACCACCUGGGCCUGUGAUGACAUCACCGAGCUGUGGCUCCACAGCCCUGUUCCACCUCUGGAUGUUCUCUGACAGGAGAAAAUGUGCUCCUGGGUUGUCUAAACCUUUUUUGGGGAUAUUUGCAGCUGAAAGCACCCCUAACUGUUAAAGGACCCCAAGAAUGCAGAAAUCCCAGAGGGGACCAAGUUCCCAAGAUAAACUCAAUUUCCUGAUUGGGAGGAGAGUCUAGGCAGGUUCUCUUCAAAGUUUCCAAAGGUGUUUUAUC
rnacentral:lncRNA from 1 species